rnacentral:rRNA from 1 species
GAUGAACGCUGGCGGCGUGCCUAAUACAUGCAAGUCGAGCGAACGGACGAGAAGCUUGCUUCUCUGAUGUUAGCGGCGGACGGGUGAGUAACACGUGGAUAACCUACCUAUAAGACUGGGAUAACUUCGGGAAACCGGAGCUAAUACCGGAUGAUAUUUUGAACCGCAUGGUUCAACAGUGAAAGACGGUCUUGUUGUCACUUAUAGAUGGAUCCGCGCUGCAUUAGCUAGUUGGUAAGGUAACGGCUUACCAAGGCAACGAUGCAUAGCCGACCUGAGAGGGUGAUCGGCCACACUGGAACUGAGACACGGUCCAGACUCCUACGGGAGGCAGCAGUAGGGAAUCUUCCGCAAUGGGCGAAAGCCUGACGGAGCAACGCCGCGUGGGUGAUGAAGGUCUUCGGAUCGUAAAACUCUGUUAUUAGGGAAGAACAUAUGUGUAAGUAACUGUGCACAUCUUGACGGUACCUAAUCAGAAAGCCACGGCUAACUACGUG